rnacentral:rRNA from 1 species
CAAGCGAAGGAAGGCAUGUGGGGGAUGCCUGGGCACACGGAGGCGAGGAAGGCCGCGGUAAGCUGCGAAAAGCUCGGGGGAGCCGCACACAGGCGAUGAGCCCGAGAUGGCCGAAUGGGGCAACCCACCGGGGCGCGAGCCCCGGUAUCACUGGUUUCCAGUGAGGCGAACCCGGGGAACUGAAACAUCUCAGUACCCGGAGGAAGAGAAAUCAACCGAGAUUCCCGGAGUAGCGGCGAGCGAAACGGGACGAGCCUAAACCGGGGGCCUUGCCUCCCCGGGGUUGUAGGACCCACGGACGCGAGGCCGAGAAGCCAGCCGAAGUCCCCUGGGACGGGGCGCCGGAGCGGGUGAGAGCCCCGUAGGCGACGGCGAGGGACGGCUCGUAGUGGAGUUCCUGAGUAACGCCCGGUACGAGGAGCCGGGCGUGAAGCCGGGGGGACCACCCUCCAAGGCUAAAGACUCCCGUGUGACCGAUAGUGGACGAGUACCGUGAGGGACAGGUGAAAAGCACCCCUGGGCGGGGAGUGAAAGAGAGCCUGAAACCACAUGCCCACAAGCGGUAGGAGGUCGGGCGGCCCGCAAGGGUCGCCGCGACUGACUGCGUGCCUUUUGCAUUAUGAUCCGGCGAGUUACUGCUCGGGUGCGAGGCUAAGCUGGUCACCAGCGGAGCCACAGCGAAAGCGAGUCCUGUAACGAGGGCGAGUGGAGUUCUUGGGCGUAGACCCGAAGCCAGGGCGAUCUACCCAUGAGCAGGGUGAAGCUGGGGUAACACCCAGUGGAGGCCCGAACCGGUGUGGGUUGAAAACCGCUCGGAUGACUUGUGGGUAGGGGUGAAAGGCCAAUCAAGCCUGGAGAUAGCUGGUUCUCCCCGAAAUCUAUUGAGGUAGGGCCUCGAGGAAGGCAGCAAUGCCUGUUGUCCGCAGGGGGUAGAGCGACUGGAUGGGCGCGGGGGCCAAAGCGGCCUACCAACCCCAACCAAACUCCGAAUACCUGUGCGAUCGACCUCGGGAGGCAGUCGCUGAGCGAUAAUGUCCAGCGGCGAGAGGGAAAGAACCCAGAGCCACAGCUAAGGCCCCGAAGUGGCCGCUGAGUAUAGCGAAGGAUGUGUUCGUGCCGCGACAACCGGGAGGUUGGCUUAGAAGCAGCCACCCCUUUAAAGAGUGCGUAAUAGCUCACCGGUCCAGCGCGGACGCGCCGAGAAUGGUCGGGAUUAAGCGGCCCGCCGAAGCUUGGCCUUCAGUUUCGACUGAGGGGUAGGGGAGCGUUCCCCGUGCGGAGAAGCCCGGGCGGAAGCCAGCGGGUGGAGCGAGGGGAAGUGAGGAUGCCGGAAUGAGUACGCGCAAAUGCGGGUGAGAACCCCGCACACCGUAAGCCCAAGGGUUCCUGCGCCAUGGCAAUCAGCGCAGGGUGAGGCGGACCCUAAGGCGAGGCCCCAAAGGCGUAGCCGAUGGACAGCCGGUUGACAUUCCGGCCCCGUCCUGCAGUGUCGAAGCCAUCAGGGACACCGAAACGACGCGUGAGCGGUCUUGUGGAUUGACCGUCUAAGCCGGUAGGGCGCAAGCCUGAGAGGUGAUGGGGAGGGGAGGCUUCGGCCGAUCCGACUUACGUUGAGUCUGCGGGCAAGAAAAGCUGAUGGGGGAGCUGCACGGACGUCCGUACCGUAAACCGACACAGGUGGGUGAGGCGAGUAGCCUCAGGUGAACGAGUGAAACGUGGUCAAGGAACUCGGCAUAAUGAUCCCGUAACUUCGGAAGAAGGGAUGCCCCUCGCGGUGUCGCGGCUUGCCCGCGGCGCUUCAGGGGGCCGCAGUGAAUCGGCCCAAGCGACUGUUUAGCAAAAACACAGGUGCGUGCCAAGCCGCGUAAGGCGCCGUAUACGCACUGACGCCUGCCCGGUGCCGGAAGGUUAAGGGGAGGGGUUAGCCGCAAGGCGAAGCCCUGAGCCGAAGCCCCGGUAAACGGCGGCCGUAACUAUAACGGUCCUAAGGUAGCGAAAUUCCUUGUCGGGUAAGUUCCGACCUGCACGAAUGGCGUAACGACUUGGGCACUGUCUCGACCACGCGCUCGGCGAAAUUGCAGUCUCGGUGAGGAUUCCGAGU